CCAUACCUGUAAACAUUCCAGAUAACGCAUUAUUUAUUUAGAUAUUUAUUGACAACUAUUUUAAUUGUGAAAUAUCAAGAAAAGCAUGUAUGUACCACGCACCAACAAUUCGGGCAAGCUACAUCAACAAUUAAUGCGGAAUCAACUCUAAAGAACACACGUUGAACCUGAGGGACCUAUGCUAAUAUGAUUUAUAUUAUAAAAUAUACAUUUCUUUAACUAGGUUUUUUUAUUAAAGUACUUUGAUCUGUUAAUACUAUCGAGAAGAACAUACACUUGAAACCCAAUGAGUAUUACGUACUACGUGAAAACUCAUAAAAUAAAUAAACCAAGGAGGAUGGGAUAAUAAGCCUUCCAAGUCUAAAGUGCACUGAUGUAAUCUUUGUUCAGGUGUGCACAGUAGGCGAUAAAAAAAUAAUAAAAAAAUAAUAAUUUCAUAAAAUAACAUUUUUAUUUAAUAUAAGAGUGUUACAAGUAUAGGUAAUGUUUGUGUACUGUAUAAGAAUAACAAGUACCGAAGAAAAGUUAAUAAAGUGAACUAUGAAUAUAGAACGAAAUAAAACUAGUUCGAGGUUUAAUAUUUAAUCUACAAUUCGUCAAGGAUAUGUUUUAUAAACGUUACAGCUUUUAUAAUAUGAUAAUACAAAAUAUAGUACGGUAAUUCCGUCAACAACGCAAAAUGAACUCAUUAGGAUCGUUUAGGAUUUCAAAGAGGAAGAGAUAAGAGAUAAUACUUCAUCCCUGGAAACUUUUUUCUUUUCCCCUCGAACUGACGCGAGCAAAAAUGAAAUCGAGGAAAAAAAAUAGAUAUGCGCUGGUAUUGACCGAUACUUAUGACAAAAAUUGUAAAAUGAAAUAAAAUUUUGAUUCAAUUCUUGUCUCGCUGCACUUAGGUCGCUAUAGAUAAAAACUUUUUUCGGAUACUUCGCAUCGAAUAUUUCGAGUUCAGCAAACGAAUCUACAAGGCGAUAUACAUAUAGGUGAAACAAAGAAAAAGUGAAAAUAUGACCAAAAUCAAGUUCAAUUUCGAACUAACGUAAAUUUCCUACGAUAACUGAAAUUUCCGAUAUUCACGCUUCAGAAUUUGACAUAAUCUAUUUCAUAGUACCGGCAACUGCGCAGCAGUUUCGUGGGCAAAUUACUUUUUUCAACGGAUUCAGCGGAUAAGUAUAUUCAUCUCGAAGAAUGGCUACGGUAUAACUCUUUUAUUUUGCUCGAUUGCAAUUUCGAGUCGGUAGACUUAAAGACACUGCGUUUUGUUUUCACCUUAUAAAGAACGGAGAUAUUGAAUUUCGGCGAAAUUAAAGAAAACAAACAGCUAAAGUUGUUUCUGGCACACCCUGUGUACAGAAAAGCUCGAGAGUAGCAGAAACGGACUUACUAGGUGAGGUAGGGCUACUGAAUUGGAGUGGGGAGUCGAGCGUCUUGAUAGGCCGAUUGGCAGAAGAAUAUUACGCGCAAGCGCAAAGACUUCAACGGUUUCGGAGUAUCUCGGGGAGUUGUUCGUCUAAUCUCGCGUGAGUCGCACGUAUUUCCUUGUGCGUUCUUUCGAAGGAAGCUUUUGUUUUUUUUCUUGGACCAUAAACGCAGCUUCUAAUACUUAUAUCAACGGAAAAUGCAUAUCACAAUAAUCCGUUGUUUGUUCUUCACGCUCACAGGCGCCAGUACUAACGCGAGAGAGAAAAUGCGCGAGAAUCGAACGACACAUCAUCGACACUAAAAAGAAAAGCAGGUCUACGGGUUGGAAUUCUUUAUAUUUCGCCAGAUCUCGGAAUUCCAAGCGCCGUGAGUGUGUCGAUCUAACAAUACACGGAGGUUCUACGAUUCUGUGAAGAAUGGCAAGAAUAAAAAGGAAUACAAUGCAGAACGGCCACUACAGGAUAACAACAAAGAAAAGAAGGCUUUUGUUCCUCAACUUUUUCCCGUUCCCCUCUUACCGCGCCGUGAUUCUGCCUUGGGUCUAACACCGAAUCGAAUAAAAUAUGUUGCCUACUACUACGAGCAAGUUAGUACAGUCAGAAAUUUUUCUAAGACAUUGAAAUCUCCUAAUCGUUACAAAAUAAAUGCAAAUUAUUCAAAUUAUUCCUUAGCCAUUUCGAAUUUAUUCUAUCGCAAUUCUAAUAGCGCUAGUUUCAUAUCAAAUGUAUUAAAUGUACGAAUAGUUACAACGCCAGAAUAAAUGAAACAACGUGGUUGAACAUUGUGCAUAA